rnacentral:lncRNA from 1 species
CAGCACAAUGUUUAGGAUUUGAGGACUGCAUAAUGGAAGCUUGCACUACCGUUAUGGUGGAUGCUCAAGUAAUUAUCUCUGACAUACUUCCCCUCUCCCAACUGGUGUAAAUUAAACAAUACAAUUUGAUGUAGACAAAAAAUACAAAAAAAACUCCCAUACAUAAAAGAACAACUUUCGUCAGAGACCAUGAAUGUUGCAGAUCCAUCAUCUUGCAUACGCCAGGAGCAACCAAUUUCCUGGUGGUCACCCCAAAAGCCUAGGCAACAAACCGUGCACAAUCAUGCA